rnacentral:rRNA from 1 species
UGGGGAAUCUUGCGCAAUGGGCGAAAGCCUGACGCAGCGACGCCGCGUGGGGGAUGAAGCUUCUCGGAGUGUAAACCCCUUUCGACCCGGACGAAUGACCCGCAAGGGUUUGACGGUACGGGUAUAAGAAGCCCCGGCUAACUACGUGCCAGCAGCCGCGGUAAGACGUAGGGGGCCAGCGUUGCUCGGAAUUACUGGGCGUAAAGGGUUCGUAGGCGGUGCGGUAAGUCGAGAGUAAAAUCUCCAGGCUCAACUUGGAGGCGCCUCCCGAAACUGCCGUGCUCGAGUGCUGGAGAGGCGAGUGGAAUUGCAGGUGUAGCGGUGAAAUGCGUAGAUAUCUGCAGGAACACCAGUGGCGAAGGCGGCUCGCUGGACAGCAACUGACGCUGAGGAACGAAAGCUAGGGGAGCAAACAGGAUUAGAUACCCUGGUAGUCCUAGCCCUAAACGAUCAGGUCUUGAGGUGAGCCCCGUUCGGGGUUUGUCUCGUAGCCAACGCGAUAAG